rnacentral:lncRNA from 1 species
GUUGUCUUGGGAUCAGCAUCUCUGGGCGUUCUUCUCCAUGGCAGAUGGUAUCAUCCUGGGGUCUGAUGACUUAGCAAGGCCUCCAGAGAGGUAUUACUGGCUCAUUAUCAUCAGGCUCUGUCAGGACAUAGAGCUGACAGCCGUCAAGGCCUCCAGGGCAACGAGAAGGAGCAGAUAUCGUGGGCGUGAUUUUUCCAGACAGACCCGCAAGUGACAUGGAAGAGUAGUGGUGACAGAGUCCAGAGCUUAUGUUCGGAAGGUAACAGUGACUGUGUUACUGAAUCCAAGCUUGGUCUGCUUGCUGUGCAUGAGUGCUGUGUGCUAAGUCUCUUCAGCUGUGGCCGACCCUUCAGAACCCUGUGGACUAUAGCCCGCCAGGCUACUCUGUCUGUGGAAUUUUCCAGGUGAGAAUACUGGAGUGGGUUACCCUGCCCUCC